rnacentral:rRNA from 1 species
UACGAAGGGGGGCUAGCGUUGCUCGGAAUCACUGGGCGUAAAGGGUGCGUAGGCGGGUCUUUUAAGUCAGGGGUGAAAUCCUGGAGCUCAACUCCAGAACUGCCUUUGAUACUGAGGAUCUUGAGUACGGGAGAGGUGAGUGGAACUGCGAGUGUAGAGGUGAAAUUCGUAGAUAUUCGCAAGAACACCAGUGGCGAAGGCGCUCACUGGCCCGUAACUGACGCUGAGGCACGAAAGCGUGGGGGAGCAAACAGG